UAUCUCUCUCUUGGUAGCUCUCCUCGACGAAGAAAAUCAUAUGUUGCUGCUCACUCGAAUCGAAAGGUAAAGCUAUGUUGUUUUGUUUUUAUGUUUGAAUCCUUCAAUUAUGCAUGUCUUAGAUUGUGCUCCUUCUUGUUCGGAUCACAAAUUUUCUCAAUUAAUUCUGAGUUCUUCAAUUGCAUAUGCGAGUUCCAUUGAAGAGACAAUCAUAAAUUCUCUGCAGAGACAAUCAAUAUUCUCUGCAAACUCAAGGUUUGAUUUUCCCCAGCAACAUCGAUCUUCUCGGUUCUUUAUGCAAUUUGCGUUUCUGAUAAUGAGAUGUUGAUGAAGAGCUUUCGCAAUCUUUUGAUCCUUUCCUUUACUGUUUGACUCAAUGGAUAAAUUUUCAUUCAGUGAUCAUCAUGUCUAUUAAUUCAUGUUCUUAUUGGUUUAGUAACUUCUCAUUAGGUGGCUUGGUGUCAUGAUCUAGAUUCUUGAGAAUCAAGAACGGUUUUGAUCAAUUUGAGAUGAUUUUCUCUUGCUUAGGAAGAACUGCUUUUCAAAUGAUAGAUAUUUUCAUCUCGUUUGUAUGAAGCAUAUCUCGUUUGUAGAACUCGGUUCUCUUGUAUUUGUUUAUGUCUCGUACUUUCUCAACUUAAUAUAUAUAUAAAUCAUGUGAUUCUUUUUUAUUUGUUUAUGUCUUUGUGUCUUAAGAUGGAUGGAUCAAGAGACAUGAGCAAGGUUCGCCAAACAAAAGGACUACAAUUGCAAUAAAGAUAAAACAUUUCUCUUUGAUAUGUUCAAUUGAUUAAAGUUUUAAGGAACAUUUUUUAUAUUCGUUGGUGGUUUUUGAUUAUGUUUAGAUUGAUGUUGAUUUUGAUGCUUGUCUGAAAUGAAUUGAUUUUGAUUCGGGUCUGAAAAUCGUUGGUAAGAAAUGUUUUGGUUAGUGCUAGAUUAUGGUUUUGUUAGGUAAUAAAUAGAUGUUAUGGUUAGAUAGAAAUUGAUGGUGUAGUGUGAUGAAUGUGUUAAUAUAUGUCAAAUCGGUUUGGUUGGCUGUGAUGAUUGCAUUGAUUCUUCUAUUUCAUCUAUUAAACACAUUCCUUCGUUUCUUUCUUAUCAUCUUUUAAACAUUGUGCUUCUCUUCCAUCAAUUAAACACAUUCCUUCCUUUCUUUUUUAUCAUCUUUUAGACAUUGUUCUUCUCUUUCUCUCUUCCUUGACAUAUUCGGAUAUGGCUUCUAAUCCAUAUAGGCACACGUCAAAUUUUAUUGAACUUCUUAAUAGUCAAAAAGAUAGUGUCUUUGGUUUAGUACAAGAUAUUGUUGAACUAUUUUCAUCACAAGUUCAUUUAUUUGGGAGUCAAGGUACUGAAGAUUCAAACUUUAGAGAAGACACUCCUGCAGAGCGUAGAGAAUGAAAGAAAUGGGCGCCAACAUAUGAUGUAGUGCUCAUCAGCUCGUGGUUAAACACGAGCAAAGAUCAUGCUGUAGGGAAUGAGCAAAGAUCUGGUGCUUUCUGGAAAAGAAUUGCAGCCUACUUUGCGCCAAGUCCGAAGGUUGCAGGCUGUGAACACAGAGAGCCAAAUCACUGUAAGCAAUGUUGGCGCAAGAUCAAUGACCUUAUUUGCAAGUUUUAUGGAUCGUAUGAUGCUGCAACCAAAGAGAAAAGUAGCAGUCAGAAUGAGAAUGAUGUUCUCAAACUAGCUCAUGAAAUCUUCUUCAACAUCCAUAAUAAGAAAUUCAACCUUGAACAUGCUUGGAAGGAGCUGCGCAAUGGCUAGAAAUGGUGUGGUCUUUCUUCUUCUAAAACCGAUGUAAGCUCUAAAAAAAGGAAGUGUGAGGACGGUUCACAAUCAUAAAGUUCUCACGCAAAUGAAACCAAGACUGCUGAAGCUGAUCAAGGAACCAAUCGUCCCCCUGGUGUUAAGGCAGCAAAGGGUUAUGGUAAGAAGACGAUGGUAGAGGGGAAAGCGAUGUCUGAGUUUCAGAGUAUGUGGUCCAUUGAACAGCAUGAUUCGGCUAUGAAAGAAAGGAUGACAAAGAUGGGUCUACUUGACAGUCAUUGCAAAAAAAGAACAAUUAUCUGAGUAUGAAGAAGCUCUAAAGAAGAAGCUCAUUAAUGACUUGUUGUCUAAUUAGUUUAACUAUAAGUGUAAGAAGAAAAUGGAUCAUCUGUUUAAGUUUCUUUGUUUUAGGUGUCGAGUUCGUGUUGCUUAAUAUAUGUGAUUGUUUGUUGUUUGUUGUUUGUUGUAUUUCAGCUUAGAAGUUAUUGUUUGUUGUAUUUUAAGUUUGUGUUUCUUGUUCUGGUUAUGUCAUGGAGUUAUUGUAUUUCAGAAGUUAUUGUAUUUUAACUUUGUGUUUCUUGUUCUGGUUAGAAAUUAUUUUAUUUCAGCAUAUAUUUUAAGUUUGUAUUUGUAGAUCCAAUGGUUAGCUACUCUUUACUAUAUUACUAAUUGUUUUCUUUUUCUGAUGAUAUAAAUCAAAAGCAGAACGAAUAAAGGUUCACAUUUUGUUUACUUUAUUAUAUUGCUUGAUGGAAUCUUUGUUGGUUGUGUCUUGUCUAUACAUUCAAUGUGGUUCUUCUUCUUAUUUGUUAGACUAGUUUCGCAGAAAACUGUUGAUUCUAUGUUCGAUAGUUCUUGAAUAAUAGAAAUUUUUAAAUAUUUGGUUGUGAAUGAGGGUAACUGUAAGAUUUAUUUUAACUAUUUAUUUUGGAAAUUUUCAGGUAUUGAAAGAGUGAAAGAGUGAAGCAGGUCUUGGAAUUUUAUUUUGUAUUCUUGUGGCCAGGCCAUAAAUCACGUGUGUCAUCAGUCACGUUUGUAAAGUUUGUAAACUUUAUAUUCUAUUAGUUGUAAUGUUGUAUCACAGACUAGCAAAAAAUCAGAGAACCAUGUUCCCUCAAACGUAUAUGACAAAAUAGGUGAC
rnacentral:lncRNA from 1 species